UGCUGCGCCUACACCCAGAGGGUCCGGCUAUUGCGCGGCUGUGGCGCGCGGGGCUUCCGCUUCUCCACUUAAGGCAACCGCCGCCGGCUCGCUUCCUGCUCCUCCUCGCCAACAAAACCCCAGGAAAAGUCUCCGCGGACAACCCCGUGGUUCGCUCGAGGCUAGUUUCCUUCACCUCCGCCGCUUCCCUCGUUAACUCCUCCUGGUCGGUCGGUCUCUCUCCCCCCUCUUGCUUGCCACCUCCUCCCGGUCUUCCGCUCACGCAGGCGCUUUCUCCGCUUCUCCCGUCGCUGCUCUUCUUAAGCAGCAACAGCCGCUUCCCUACGCGCGCCAGUGCGCGGGGUCCUGCGUGGAGUUUGCAAAGUGCCGCCGCUCCCUGACAGGGCGUCGCGCGGCUUCGCGGACUCUGGGGAGGAGCUGGUCUUGGCGAGCGGCUCCUCGCAGCGCCCCGCUGCCUCCUGCUGACUAACUGAUUGAGCCGCUGCCGCCGCGGCGUCCUCCUCCCCGGGCCGCCGGGCAGGCGAGUCAGUCAGAGCGCGUCUCUCCCUCUCUCUUUCCCCUUCUCUCUCCCACACACAAACACAUACGUACACGCCCCGGAACGGCUGAGAAGCAGGCUCCAGAGGGGCAGGGAGGAGGAGGAGGAGGAGGGACGGCUGGUGAUAGCUGCAGGACGGGCUGCGACAGCGGGGGCCUGUGCGCCUGGGAGGGGUGGAGAUAUCCCCCGGGGGAGCUGCGCCCUCGGGGGCAAGCGAGCGAGCCGGCGGCGGGUCGCCUCAGAGCUGCUCCUGUUUUGGCGGGAACGCGCGAGGAGCCCCGUGCAGCGGCACCUUCGCGGGCGGGCAGGUGGGCUGGAGAGAGGGCAGCGCCCCGCUCCUCCCCCACCUCGCGCUCCGCUCCGAACUGGGCGGCAUCUCUGCGAAACUGACGGGCAGCCCAGCGAGGCAGAAGCCCCUCAGUCAGCUCCUCUGGAACCUGGGCUGCAAUUCUUGCUAACACUUGACAGAACAGGCAGCUUGACUGAAGAGAGUGAUUCAGCACCGGAGGUGACCUGCGGGCAGCUGAUAGCAGAGCGAGGAGGCGUGGCAGUGGAUGUGCUGGACCAUUUUCUUGCCUUGGCAAUGGACUGAAUGAACAAAACAGCAGAGGGAUUUGAAGAGAUGGACCAUGACUGCAGAGACAAAGCCACCAAGCCUGGAUUUGGAGAUGAUGAUUCAGGCUGGAUUUUUGCCAGGAAGUUGCAAUGCAUCAGAGUUUUCAAGGUCGAAAGUCAGGUGCUCUGUAUAAUUAAGCAAACUGACAUUGUCAGCUAAUGCAAAGGGAAAAGCAUUGCUGUCAGCAGUCAUAUCAAAAGUGAACAGGACAGCACUGUCCCUCCUGUAAAGAGCCAGGAACAGAAAGUAAGUAAACGAGUACCUACAAAUAUAAAAAAGGCAGGCUUAGUAUUUGAAAUUGUCUGUGAAGAUUGUGAGAAGGUAAACUACAGAGACUGUAUGGUUGUGCCAUCUUGCCCGACCUUAUCAUAAGGAAAAAGUGAUUCUUGUGCAGUGAAGUUCACUUUGCCUAGAUCUUUAGGUCUGAUUGCUAAUUAUACUGCGAACAAACACUCUGCUCAAAAACCAUGUCAAAGCUAGGUAAAUUAUGGGAUAAAAAUAAAAUCCAUUUAAAGCCAGAUGAGUAGAAAAUGUAUAUUUAUAGCUGCAGUACAUGAGCCAGACUUGAACUAUCAAUUCCUCACUUUGUCAUUUAAGAUUAUUAUUUUUAACUGUUAUUAUAAAUCAGUAUCUUGACAUUUGUUUGUUAUGUUUUGUCUUCAUUUAAUAUAGCUCCUCAGUGUUCAGUUAGGCAAGAGAACUGUUCUGCUCAAGUUCUAACAGACACAACUGAUCCUAGCUGCACAGAAUAUGCCCAUAGGAUUAACAAGAAGGUGCUUCCUUUAAUUUGAAGGAAAUGGGUAGCUACAUUUUUAUAAUGUGACAUUCUUCUGUAAGAAUGGGUGGUAACUUCCAACUUAAAUCAAAGUCUGCAAACCCAUGUUGCCCACGUUUCCUUCCAUAAAUGAAUUGUUCAGCAGAAGCAAGAUUUAAAAAACAGUUGAACUUAUCAGAACCAAUAAUGUAACAGUAUCUACUGGUGGCAGUGUCUCCUCACUGGGGCAUAUAACCACCCUGCUUUACAGUCUGUGGUAAGUAACACUUUGGGACCUCAUCCUUCAGAUACUGUUGGACCCCAACUCCCAUAAACCCCAAUCAGUAUGGUCAGUGGUUAGGGAUGAUGGGAGCUGUUAAUAUAGGAACACCUGGAGAGCAACAGAACCCCCACCUCUGGAUUAGGUUGCUGUUAAUAUUCAGGAUGUUUUGCUACUCCAGACAAGACUGAAAAUGCCACCUCCAUCUGCUCCACAGCAGUCCAGACAGCUGUGCAUUCCCUGCUAAACAUUGAAAAGCACGCCAAGAGGUAAGAAUGAUGGGGGUGGGGCGGGCAAGGCAGGAGGUAAUAGAGUGCUCCAAAAUUACUAGGAUGAACAUAGUCUUUUUACAGGAUUACAGCCCAUUCUUCUACGUGCUUACUUAGUAAUAUGUUCCCUGGUAUUCAAUGGUGCUUACUCCCAGGCAAGUGGACAUAGGAUUGUGCUGUUAAUAUUAACCUCUGCACUAACCCUUCAAUGCGUACCGUAUUUUUUGCUCUAUAAGACUCACUUUUUCCCUCCUAAAAAGUAAGGGGAAAUGUGUGUGCGUCUUAUGGAGCGAAUGC